rnacentral:rRNA from 1 species
UACGGGGGGAGCAAGCGUUGUUCGGAUUUACUGGGCGUAAAGGGCGCGUAGGUGGCCUGCUAAGUCGAACGUGAAAUCCCUGGGCUCAACCCAGGAACUGCGUCCGAUACUGGUUGGCUUGAAUCCGGGAGAGGGAUGUGGAAUUCCAGGUGUAGCGGUGAAAUGCGUAGAUAUCUGGAGGAACACCGGUGGCGAAGGCGACAUCCUGGACCGGUAUUGACGCUGAGGCGCGAAAGCCAGGGGAGCAAACGGG